rnacentral:tRNA from 1 species
CACCAAAUCCGGGUGUCGCCU